rnacentral:lncRNA from 10 species
AGAACAAGUCCGGGCAUAUGUGGAGAUCGGGUCCCGGUCCCGGCUCGUCAAGCCCCAGCUUUAUGGUGGCUCCUCAGCCUCCCACUACGUGGGUAGAAAGUUUCCAGCCACGAAAGUGAAAGUGAAAUGCAAAUCAAGCCUACCGGGAGGAAAAGCCUCCUUGCAGCCUGAAGAGAGUACAGCUGCUGCAAAUAUGCACUUUAUUUUUCAAUUACAGAAUUGAUGCGCUCGUAGGUGUCACAAGAUAAAGAGGUGAAUUGUUCUGUUAAACUUAGCUCCCUAUCAUCCUCUUAACAUUCCCCCGCCAGCUCUUAUAAUCACUCAAUCGUUCAUUGUAUAAAGCUUUUAAAGCUUUUUUAAAAGUUCGAAUACACUUUUUUUUUUUCAAAAAUGCACUCAUUCCGUAAACACUUGGAAAAGUACUUAAUAAAGUACAUUUAAUUUUAUGCCACGUACAUCUUUUAUCAUAUCAGUACCUCUUUAAAACAUAGCAUCACAUGUAUAUAACAUAAUUUAUCAAUCUCCUGUUGUUUAACUACAAACACCUUUGAGCACUUAGGCAAUUUUGGUGAUAUCAACUCCUUGAAGUAAUACAGCUGAGUCAAAGAGCGUACACAUUUAAUAUUUUUUCUUUUCUUUUCCUUUCUUUUUGAGAUGGAGUCCUGCUCUGUCAUCCAGGCUGGAGUACAGUGGCGCGAUCUCAGCUCAUUGCAACCUCCGCCUCCCAGGUUCAAGUGAGUCUCCUGCCUCAGCCUCCCGAGUAUCUGGGAUUACAGGUGCCUACCACCACCCCCGGCUAAUUUUUGUAUUAUUAUUAUUAUUUUUUUUUAGUAGAGACGGGGUUUCACCAUGUUGGCCAGGCUGGUCUUGAACACCUGACCUGAGGUGAUCCACCUGCCUCGGCCUCUCAAAGUGCUGGGAUUACAGGCGUGAGCCACCACGCCCAGCCAGAAAUUUUCAAUUGUUACAGGAUGGACAGGAUUUGUUGUUUCUCUCUUGCUUUCUUCACACCACUUCUCUUUAGUUACUUUUAAUACCUUGGUCAGCAGAAUUCUUUAGUUUUUCUACCAUGUAUCUAGGUAUGGAGUUAGUUUUAUUUGUCUUGUUGAGGGAAC